rnacentral:rRNA from 1 species
AUACGAAGGGUGCUAGCGUUGUUCGGAAUUACUGGGCGUAAAGAGCAUGUAGGCGGAUUGAUUAGUCAGAGGUGAAAGCCCCGAGCUCAACUUGGGAAUUGCCUUUGAUACUGUCAAUCUAGAGACCGAGAGAGGUGAGUGGAAUUCCCAGUGUAGAGGUGAAAUUCGUAGAUAUUGGGAAGAACACCAGUGGCGAAGGCGGCUCACUGGCUCGGUACUGACGCUGAGAUGCGAAAGCGUGGGGAGCAAACAGGAUUAGAAACCCCAGUAGUCC